AUUAAUAACAUAUUAGAUGUGAU
rnacentral:snRNA from 1 species